AUUGAACGCUGGCGGCAUGCUUUACACAUGCAAGUCGAACGGAGUUGGAGCUUGCUCCAAUUUAGUGGCGAACGGGUGAGUAAUAUAUCGGAACGUACCCGGCAAUGGGGGAUAACGUAGCGAAAGUUACGCUAAUACCGCAUAUGCCCUGAGGGGGAAAGCAGGGGACCAGUAAUGGCCUUGCGUUGACGGAGCGGCCGAUAUCAGAUUAGCUAGUUGGUGAGGUAAAGGCUCACCAAGGCGACGAUCUGUAGCGGGUCUGAGAGGAUGAUCCGCCACACUGGGACUGAGACACGGCCCAGACUCCUACGGGAGGCAGCAGUGGGGAAUUUUGGACAAUGGGCGCAAGCCUGAUCCAGCCAUGCCGCGUGAGUGAAGAAGGCCUUCGGGUUGUAAAGCUCUUUCAGCCGGAAAGAAAACGCACCACCUAAUACGUGGUGUGGAUGACGGUACCGGAAGAAGAAGCACCGGCUAACUACGUGCCAGCCGCCGCCGUAAUAC
rnacentral:rRNA from 1 species